ACUCCUACGGGAGGCAGCAGUAGGGAAUAUUGGUCAAUGGGGGCAACCCUGAACCAGCCAUCCCGCGUGCAGGAAGACUGUCCUAUGGAUUGUAAACUGCUUUUAUACAGGAAGAACAUCCCGGAUGCGUUCGGGACUGACGGUAUUGUAUGAAUAAGCACCGGCUAACUCCGUGCCAGCAGCCGCGGUAAUACGGAGGGUGCGAGCGUUAAUCGGAAUUACUGGGCGUAAAGCGCAUGCAGGUGGUUUGUUAAGUCAGAUGUGAAAGCCCCGGGCUCAAGCCUGGGAAUUGCAUUUGGAAACUGGACAAACUAAGAGUACUGUAGAGGGGGGUAGAA
rnacentral:rRNA from 1 species